UUUUGACCUCGGAUCAGGUAGGGAUACCCGCUGAACUUAAGCAUAUCAAUAAGCGGAGGAAAAGAAACCAACAGGGAUUGCCCUAGUAACGGCGAGUGAAGCGGCAACAGCUCAAAUUUGAAAUCUGGCUCUUUUAGAGUCCGAGUUGUAAUUUGCAGAGGGCGCUUUGGCUUUGGCAGCGGUCCAAGUUCCUUGGAACAGGACGUCACAGAGGGUGAGAAUCCCGUACGUGGUCGCUGGCUAUUGCCGUGUAAAGCCCCUUCGACGAGUCGAGUUGUUUGGGAAUGCAGCUCUAAAUGGGAGGUACAUUUCUUCUAAAGCUAAAUAUUGGCCAGAGACCGAUAGCGCACAAGUAGAGUGAUCGAAAGAUGAAAAGCACUUUGGAAAGAGAGUCAAACAGCACGUGAAAUUGUUGAAAGGGAAGCGCUUGCAGCCAGACUUGCUUGCAGUUGCUCAUCCGGGCUUUUGCCCGGUGCACUCUUCUGUAGGCAGGCCAGCAUCAGUUUGGGCGGUAGGAUAAAGGUCUCUGUCACGUACCUCUCUUCGGGGAGGCCUUAUAGGGGAGGCGACAUACUACCAGCCUGGACUGAGGUCCGCGCAUCUGCUAGGAUGCUGGCGUAAUGGCUGUAA
rnacentral:rRNA from 1 species